rnacentral:rRNA from 1 species
GAGGAAAGAGGGAGGCGUGCCUAAUACAUGCAAGUCGAGCGAACAGACGAGGAGCUUGCUCCUUUGACGUUAGCGGCGGACGGGUGAGUAACACGUGGGUAACCUACCUAUAAGACUGGGAUAACUUCGGGAAACCGGAGCUAAUACCGGAUAAUAUUUCGAACCGCAUGGUUCGAUAGUGAAAGAUGGCUUUGCUAUCACUUAUAGAUGGACCUGCGCCGUAUUAGCUAGUUGGUAAGGUAACGGCUUACCAAGGCAACGAUACGUAGCCGACCUGAGAGGGUGAUCGGCCACACUGGAACUGAGACACGGUCCAGACUCCUACGGGAGGCAGCAGUAGGGAAUCUUCCGCAAUGGGCGAAAGCCUGACGGAGCAACGCCGCGUGAGUGAUGAAGGUCUUCGGAUCGUAAAACUCUGUUAUUAGGGAAGAACAAACGUGUAAGUAACUGUGCACGUCUUGACGGUACCUAAUCAGAAAGCCACGGCUAACUACGUG